rnacentral:misc_RNA from 1 species
AUAUUUAAAUAUAAAAUUUAAAUCAAUGAACUAUUUUGUUAAUUAAAUAAAACAUUAGGAACCAUAUUUUAAUUUACUGUUACUUUCUUAAAUUUAAUUUAGUCCUUUUGACUACUAUUGUGACAACUACUUAAAUUUUGGCUAUAAGACACAAAAUAAUGUUUUGGCAACAAUCAAGAAAAGUCUUAAAAGUUUUAGAUCUUUUUGUCCAAUAAGCCUAACUAAUAUAUUGGUCUCAACAAUGAAAAUCUAAGUUGUAAAAGCAACUUUAAGAACAGAAAUUUCUAUACAAGUCCAUUUUUAGUAGAAGUAAUUUUAUAAUUCCAAACUUACGUCUCAGAAGCCGAAGCACUCCUGUAACCUUCCAAUUUGGUGAUAAAGACAGGCUGUCCUUGACGCUGCCCAGACAAAUUUCCCUCCCAGACUUUGACAUAUUUGGAUUGUGCUGAUUGCAAAGCACUUGUUGUCUGCUGUGGCAAUGGCAUAUUAGCUGCUGAGUUGUUAUUCACACCAAGAGACUGCAUCCCACUUUGUGCUUGUUGAGGCAUUCCUGGAGUUGGAAUCAUGGUGCUGCUUCCAGAAGAGACACCCGACGGACCAAGACCACUCAUCAUAUUCUGAUUCAUGCUAAUUCCACUUUGCACCAUUUGUGCUCCUGAAAGAUUUCCUUGGCUCAUGCCUGGUACCGAUGGACCAAUGCUAACAGCUCCUUGAAGGUUACCCAUGGGUUGUGAAAUUCCAAGAUUUGAGUUCCCAGAUAUGUUAGAAGUUGCAGAAGUGAAUGAACCAAGACCAGAGUUUGGUGCAAUUUGUGUUGUUCCUGAUCCUGUUAUUGAACUAAUACCAGGUUGUCCAGAUGAAAAAACAUUUUGAGCAGGAGGCACAGAAGAAGCCAUGCCACUGGAUAUCAUAUUUGACAUAUGCAUGGCAACAGGAGUCUGAUUCAUUGAUUGAAGGCCGAUCGUAGUUCCUCCAGUUAAAGCAGCAGAGUUCAUCACUUGGCGUGCUUGAGAGAGAUUAUUCAGUAUGCUAACAUUCGCUGCACCAGGAGGCACAGGACGUACAGACUGUGGCAUCCCACUGACACUCGGUUUUAAGUCUGACACAUUUUCACCACUUGAAAUCAUCUCUUGAGUAGUUGUAGGCGGUGAAGAUGUCUGCAAACUUGGAACUGCUUGAGAAGUGGGACGCGCAGAUGGAAUAUGUGAAAAAGCAGGUCCAGGUGCAAUGGAAGUUACAGUGGUUGGUUCAACUUUUACAGUUGCAGUGGGAACAUUUGCAACUGAAAUUGGUGGCCGGUUCAAGAUAGAUCCAUUCACUGAUGGUAUUGAAGGUGGAGCUGGCCCUGCAGCAGAAGUAACUGAAGCAACGUCCACUUUUACAGGACUCUGAUUAGAAGGUAGAUUUGCAACUCCAGGACGACUUAAAGAAGCACGCGCCUCCAUGAAGUUCUCAGAGAUUAGAACAAGAAAAUGAGGAUUUUUAACAUUGUCAACUAUUGGAUCUGCUGCUCGGAUGUUGCGUUUUCCCGAAUUGUAGAUUGCUCUAAUUUUUGGCAGCUGUUUUGGACAAAUGACAGACAGAGAAACAGAGCAUUGAGGAAAUGAUUUCGCAACUGUCU